rnacentral:rRNA from 1 species
CCCGCUGAACUUAAGCAUAUUAAUAAGCGGAGGAAGAGAAAGCAACUGCGAUUCCCUCAGUAGUGGCGAACGAAGCGGGAAAAGCUCAGAUUUAAAAUCGGGUCCGGCAUACGGGUUCCGAAUUGUAGCCUUCGGGUGCACAAUUGCGGUCGUUCUUAUACGCGGUGAAAGUUCCUUGGAAUGGGACGCCAUAGAGGGUGAGAGCCCCGUUCAUCACCGAUAGGUUCGGCGCCAGUCAUUUGUGUUCCUACGAGUCGGGUUGUUUGGGAUUGCAGCCCUAAACCUAUGGGGAGGUAGAUCACUCCCAAAGCUAAAUAUCGGUGGGAGACCGAUAGCGAACAAGUACCGUGAGGGAAAGGUGAAAAGAACUUUGAAAAGAGAGUUAAAAGCGUUCGAAAUCGUUAAGAGGGAAGCGAACGGAACCGAGAUGCGUCGGGCGUUCUUUCUGCGGCGAGGGCAUUUCUACUUUGUCUCGUGAGCCAAAAGCCACGGGGCGGGGAACGGAGUGUUCGCGCCGAGUAUUAGGGCGUUCGACGGACCGACGUUGGUUUGGGAAACUGGAAGAGGGGACGCGGUGACGGGGUUCAAGCUCAAACUUGGACUUGACGAACGCGGCUCUACUCGCAGUCGCCCGGAUCAGGGAUUCACAAUCACUCGCCUCGGCGGGCCUUCGGGCUCUUGAGUGGUUAGGACGUCGGUGUACGGCGGUUCUGUACGACCCGUCUUGAAACACGG